UACGUAGGGGGCAAGCGUUGUUCGGAAUUACUGGGCGUAAAGGGCGCGUAGGCGGCAUGGCAAGUCAGGAGUGAAAGGCCUGGGCUCAACCGAGGAACUGCUUUUGAUACUGCCAAGCUAGAGUGCGGAAGGGGCAACUGGAAUUCCCAGUGUAGCGGUGAAAUGCGUAGAUAUUGGGAAGAACACCUGAGGCGAAGGCGGGUUGCUGGGCCGACACUGACGCUGAGGCGCGAAAGCGUGGGGAGCGAACAGG
rnacentral:rRNA from 1 species